rnacentral:lncRNA from 1 species
GGUUCGCCGGAACCCUGGCAUUCCGUCGUCGCUGUUUGCUUCGCUUUCGGUCUCUACGGUGCUAGGUUCCUGCUCGAUAAAUUCAUCUAUCGUGUAAGGUUUUCCUUAUCCUUUUUUCUUCUUUCUUCUUUAUUUUGGUAGCAUUAGCGUUGUCGUUUAGUUUGUAGAUUAUGCUCGCUCUUUUCUUUGGAUUUGUAAUCGUCUUGUUUCUUUGGCUGUUGUUAAGCAAAAGAUUACAGCUGAGGCUUGGAGGUUUUGUUCGUGAGGUUUUGAGUUGUUUCUGAAUUCAGGAUUUGUUCUUAGAAGAAUCUAGUGUAUUAGCAUUGAGCAAUUUGACGACACUCAGUAAUUAGAGCCUAGGAGAGUACUAGAGUUUCAACAAUAGGGGAAACUGCAAUGAUCUGAUACUACGGAAGUUCUUUGGAGAGGUCUCUGUUUGGAUUAGGUUCCGUGUUUAUGU